rnacentral:tRNA from 1 species
GGGGUUGUGGCUCAGCAGUAGAGCGCUUGCCUUAGACGUGCAAGACCCUGGGUUCGAUCCUCAGCACCA